AAAUGCUUGCUGUCAGCCCGAUCUCCCGUGUUCUCCACCAUGUUCGAUCAAGAUAUGUUGGAAACUCAGACUGGCGUAGUUGAUAUUCCAGAUGCAGAAAGUGAUACUCUGCAAUCAUUUUUAGAGUUUCUGUAUACUGACACGAUAACCGUUACCGAUUGCGAGGAAAUUUUGAAACUGACGUUAGUGGCAGAUAAAUAUCAAGUUGACGAACUGAAAGAACGAUGUUCACAAAUACUGACUACAAAAUUGAGCGUGGAAAACAUUUGCCAUGUAAUUUCUGUUGCUGAAAUGGUAAAUCAUCCGGAACUAAAACUGUCUGCAUUAGAUUUUAUAAGAGUAAAUAAACGAGAAAUAAUUUCAUCCUCUGUUUGGUCAGAUUGGAUGAAAGAGAAUAUGGAAUUGGCUAACGAAAUUUUAAUGAAAAUUAUUGCUGAUUAAAACCAAAACAACUUUUAUGAAAAGAAAGAUUCUUGAAAUUAUGCAAAGGAGCUGGCUUGGAGCAUAUUGUGAAAUUGGCACUAUUUCUGCAAUAUUGAAAUUUUUACUUGUGUAUUUUUCAAAAUGUCCCAAGAAAAUAUUUUUUUUAAUAUUUCUUUGUUGUAUACUUUGUACUCUUAUAACAGAAUUUAGUUUUGAUAUUUAUUUUCUUAUGCUUACUUCAAAAUAUUAAGAAACGGAGUUAUAUUUUUAUGGAGCUAAUUUAAAGUUAUAUUUCUUAUUUCUUUUAUUUGCAAUUUCACCAAAAAUAAAAUGAAUAUACAAGCAAUUUCCAUACAGUAUUUUGUAAUUUAAAUUUAAUUUUAUCUGACGUUAUUAAAGUAUCUAAGUAGCAUAUCUGGUAACUAUAAGUAAUGCAGGUAAAUGUGCGUUUCCAAAAAUAUUUUUUAACAUAAAUCAUUUUCAAGUUUCAUCACAAAUAAAAAGUCUUAAAUCCUUUUUCUAUUGUUAAUUUUGUGUCAUUUAAUGUCACGAUAAAAAAGGUAAAAGAAUUUAAAACUGAGAAAUCUUCAAUUUUGAAAAAAAAAAGUAUUUGUGUAGUUCUAAACCUUUAUGGAAAAAAAAUCACGUCUUUUUAAUAACUCAUUUAAGUAAAUACUAAACAACAGUUUAUUGGCAAAAUUUUUUAAAAAAUUGCUGAUCAUUAUUGUGUAUUACAGCUAAGCCUACAACAAGAUGUCUUAUGGUUUAAUGCAAAGAGCUUCUGACGUUCAUAAUUUAACUUGAUUAAAUUUUGCUUCCUUUUAGUAUUUUCAAUUUCUUUCAAAGUUACCCCAUUUAACUGUUUUCGAAUUAUCCUUUAGGGUUUCAGGUUGUACCCCUUUCAGCUUCUUUAACUAACCCAUUACGACUAAAAAAAAGGUUAUUUAAAACUACUCAUUACAAUUAUUUAAAAAAAUUUACUUUUCAUGCAAAGGGAUUAACAAUUUGGAUUAAAAAAAUGGUUAUGUAAAGAAUGAAUAAUAUUUAUUCACUAUAAAUAUGAUUUUUUAAGAAAACUAUUAAGCUUUUACAAUUAUCCGAUAUUAAAAGAAAACGAAUUAUGUUCUCAAAAUUGUUUUUCUAUGAAAAUUUUAUGUAUUUUCUAACAAUUGUUCUAAAGUACUUUACAUACACUUAACAUAAAGAAUAUGUAGUUAUAUUGUGUUACAUUUUUAAUAAUGUUGUUUCAGCUUUAAUAAUGUUUGUUUCACUUUAAUUAAACGAAUUUAUAAUGUU